GAUGAACGCUGGCGGCGUGCCUAAUACAUGCAAGUCGAGCGAACGGACGAGAAGCUUGCUUCUCUGAUGUUAGCGGCGGACGGGUGAGUAACACGUGGAUAACCUACCUAUAAGACUGGGAUAACUUCGGGAAACCGGAGCUCAUACCGGAUAAUAUUUUGAACCGCAUGGUUCAAAAGUGAAAGACGGUCUUGCUGUCACUUAUAGAUGGAUCCGCGCUGCAUUAGCUAGUUGGUAAGGUAACGGCUUACCAAGGCAACGAUGCAUAGCCGACCUGAGAGGGUGAUCGGCCACACUGGAACUGAGACACGGUCCAGACUCCUGCGGGAGGCAGCAGUAGGGAAUCUUCCGCAAUGGGCGAAAGCCUGACGGAGCAACGCCGCGUGAGUGAUGAAGGUCUUCGGAUCGUAAAACUCUGUUAUUAGGGAAGAACAUAUGUGUAAGUAACUGUGCACAUCUUGACGGUACCUAAUCAGAAAGCCACGGCUAACUACGUG
rnacentral:rRNA from 1 species